CAUAAAGUCCGUCAAAACACCAAAUAAAUGGCCAUGAAAAUUAUGGAAGAUUGGAAAUAAAAUAAGAAACAUUUAAUAAAUUUUUCAGAAUUUAAAAAUGCAGAAAAAUAUAUUUAAACCAAUUAAAAUAAAGGUGAAAUAAGAAAAUUCAUGAAAAAUAGAAAAUAAGUGAAAUAAAAUAUGAAAAGAUAAAAAUAAGAUGAAGAAAAAUAAAAGAGAAUUUUAGAAAUUAUUUUGGGAUUUUUUUGAUGGAAAAUGAAAUUACUAUGAAUUUUAAAAGAAAAAGUAAUUAAAAAUAAUUAAAAAACAGAAAAACACGGAGCGUUAGAUCACGCCUCAU
rnacentral:lncRNA from 1 species